GGGGUCGUGGUGUAGCCUGGUCCAGCAUCUAGCCUUCGGGAGGCUAAGACCUGAGUUCAAAUCUCAGCGACCCCA
rnacentral:tRNA from 1 species